AGUGGCGAACGGGUGAGUAAAGCAUCGGAACGUGCCCGGUAGUGCGGGAUAGCUCGGCGAAAGCCGGAUUAAUACCGCAUGAGAUCCGAGGAUGAAAGCAGGGGACCCGCAAGGGCCUUGCGCUACUGGAGCGGCCGAUGUCAGAUUAGGUAGUUGGUGGGGUAAAGGCCUACUAAGCCUGCGAUCUGUAGCUGGUCUGAGAGGAUGAUCAGCCACAUCGGGACUGAGACACGGCCCGAACUCCUACGGGAGGCAGCAGUGGGGAAUUUUGGACAAUGGGCGCAAGCCUGAUCCAGCCAUGCCGCGUGCAGGAUGAAGGCCUUCGGGUUGUAAACUGCUUUUGUACGGAACGAAAAGCCCCCUUCUAAUAAAGGGGGGUGAUGACGGUACCGUAAGAAUAAGCACCGGCUAACUACGUGCCAGCAGCCGCGGUAAUACGUAGGGUGCAAGCGUUAAUCGGAAUUACUGGGCGUAAAGCGUGCGCAGGCGGUUAUGUAAGACAGAGGUGAAAUCCCCGGGCUCAACCUGGGAACUGCCUUUGUGACUGCAUAGCUUGAGUGCGGCAGAGGGGGAUGGAAUUCCGCGUGUAGCAGUGAAAUGCGU
rnacentral:rRNA from 1 species